UCGGUGAAUUUAUUUUUAAGAAAAUAGAUAUGACAACACCGGAUCACAGCCCUGUAUUAUUAAGCGAUCUCAGUCUCAGACUCUCAGGUAAACCGAUCGAAUCCUCGGCCAUCCUCCUCGUAAUCACCUUCCUGUAAUCCCGCUACAGCUGCCGCCCACACUUCAUCCCGCAACGUUACCCACGCGCCGCCGUCAAAACACCGAAGGGCUCCAUUCAUCCACAAUUUAGCGUGGGUUUCCGCUGAACUAAAUAGACUAUAUGUGGUCAUAGUCAAGUUGUUUUCGCUAAUUCGUAGUUAAUCUACGUGGGGAGAAUGACAAGUCUGGAAAUUUGAAUGUUGAUGGGUGGCUUCUUAUUUUUUAAGUCCUUGUAACCCACUUUACGAGAGAGUUCAUUCUCUCAAAAUAGAUCACCUUUAAUUCAAAAAAAAAAGUAUUUAUUUUAGUAAGUGGAACACAUCCUUUCGCAGGCGAGUUCCCCCUCUGCCGAUCCGCUCUCCGAGUUGACUCCCUGUUUAACUCAGUCAGUAGUUUUAGCUUCCAAUUAAUUUUUAUCUCUUUGGAGUGAUUAAUUUUUAUCAUCUUCGGCUUCAGUAGUAGUUCUAGACUGGCCUUUAGUGGUUUUUUUAAAUAUUCGAAUGUGCGAGCAAGUUUGCAUGCAUCUCGUCUUAUUUCGAGGCCUUGAAGUUAACGGCCGAGCAAACUUUUGGCCAUAACAUUUGGAAUUUUUGGCAUUCAUUAGAUUUGAACUUGCAACCUCUUGAGGGACAAGCCAUUUAGUUGCUUUUCUAGCAAACUGUUUGGGUUUAUUUACCUUUAGACUUUGCUAAAGAUGCAAUUAAAUCAUCUCUGGGAGCAAAACCAUUCCUUACCAGCCAGGAAAAAAUAGUCACCACUGCUUGAAUUCUCACACUAAUGUUUGGAUUUCCCGAAACUGAGCCUCCAAUUAAUUUUUUACCAUAUUCUGCUUUGUGACUCAACUCAAGCAACCAUGGAAGCUGUAGAGCCACAAAGGACAAAAUUUUACCGUUUUCGCAAAGGAAAGUUUCCGAUCUAGAGCCAACAAGAGCAAGUAUGUUUCUAAUAUCUCUGAUAUGUACUUCUUGAUCUUUAUGCGUGUAGGAUCAGGCGGCUAUGGUUAUUCACUACAAUAAUAUUUGCUCAUCUGCUUUAACUACGAGUCAGUACUGUGACUUGGCGUGCAAAAUCUCAUGAUUCUUACUCAUUAACAGGGAAAGAAAGGAGAUGGACCUAUUGCAGAUUCUCCCCUGCACAUCUGCCCUCCGUCGCAUAAGAUUUGAGGGAGGUUAAAUUGUCUAGUACCACCACCAGUCAGUCUUUGCUAUAUUGUGUAACUACUGGAGAAUUGUGUUGAGCAUUGGAAGCUGAAAGCUUAAAACAGAACUACUGUUCAAGGUGAGUGACGAGAUGGACUCAAAGACUGUUUGGCAGUGAACCUGAACACCUGUUUUGAGUUAAUUCGACGCACUAUGUAUGGAUGUGUCGUAGUUUUGCUAAUGCUGUUGAAGCCUAAGAAAAAGGAGAGCUGACAGUUGCUUAGCUGAAACAAUACAUUUUCUUUAGAAGCAAACGCAUCUUGCGGAACCUGAAGUGUUACCUUGUUGAAUGUAAAGUAUGAACUAGAGUCAAUAGUAGUAGUGAAGCACGAAGGUAGCACUGAUGGUCAUGGUUAAUAGACAUUAGUUAUGAUGCAACAAGGAAGCGAACGCCUUUUAGUUUUGCUGCAAUAAUGUUCAUGGUUAAUAGACAUGUGUUUGUACUAGUUCAUGAAUGAAUGGAAUGAAGAUUUGUUAUGAAAA